UACGUAGGGUGCGAGCGUUAAUCGGAAUUACUGGGCGUAAAGCGUGCGCAGGCGGUUUCGUAAGUCAGAUGUGAAAGCCCCGGGCUUAACCUGGGAACUGCGUUUGAAACUGCGAGGCUAGAGUCUGUCAGAGGGGGGUGGAAUUCCACGUGUAGCAGUGAAAUGCGUAGAGAUGUGGAGGAACACCGAUGGCGAAGGCAGCCCCCUGGGAUAAGACUGACGCUCAUGCACGAAAGCGUGGGGAGCAAACAGG
rnacentral:rRNA from 1 species